UGGGGAAUAUUGCACAAUGGGCGCAAGCCUGAUGCAGCAACGCCGCGUGAGAGAUGACGGCCUUCGGGUUGUAAACCUCUUUUAGUAGGGAAGAAGCGAAAGUGACGGUACCUGCAGAAAAAGCACCGGCUAACUACGUGCCAGCAGCCGCGGUAAUACGUAGGGUGCGAGCGUUGUCCGGAAUUAUUGGGCGUAAAGAGCUCGUAGGCGGUCUGUCGCGUCUGCUGUGAAAACCCGAGGCUCAACCUCGGGCCUGCAGUGGGUACGGGCAGACUAGAGUGCGGUAGGGGAGAAUGGAAUUCCUGGUGUAGCGGUGGAAUGCGCAGAUAUCAGGAGGAACACCGAUGGCGAAGGCAGUUCUCUGGGCCGUAACUGACGCUGAGGAGCGAAAGCGUGGGGAGCGAACAGGAUUAGAUACCCUGGUAGUCCACGCCGUAAACGUUGGGCGCUAGAUGUGGGGACCAUUCCACGGUUUCCGUGUCGCAGCUAACGCAUUAAGCGCCCCGCCUGGGGAGUACGGCCGCAAGGCUAAAGCUCAAAUGAAUUGACGGGGUCAUAGCUGUUCCU
rnacentral:rRNA from 1 species